rnacentral:rRNA from 1 species
UACGGGAGGGUGCAAGCGUUUAAUCGGAAUUACUGGGCGUAAAGCGCACGCAGGCGGUUGGAUAAGUUAGAUGUGAAAGCCCCGGGCUCAACCUGGGAAUUGCAUUUAAAACUGUCCAGCUAGAGUCUUGUAGAGGGGGUAGAAUUCCAGGUGUAGCGGUGAAAUGCGUAGAGAUCUGGAGGAAUACCGGUGGCGAAGGCGCCCCUGGACAAAGACUGACGCUCAGGUGCGAAAGCGUGGGGAGCAAACAGG